rnacentral:rRNA from 1 species
UACGUAGGGUGCGAGCGUUGUCCGGAAUUACUGGGCGUAAAGAGCUCGUAGGUGGUUUGUCGCGUUGUUCGUGAAAACUCACAGCUUAACUGUGGGCGUGCGGGCGAUACGGGCAGACUGGAGUUCGGCAGGGGAGACUGGAAUUCCUGGUGUAGCGGUGAAAUGCGCAGAUAUCAGGAGGAACACCCGUGGCGAAGGCGGCUCUCUGGCCUGUAACUGACGCUGAGGCGCGAAAGCGUGGGGAGCAAACAGG